GGGGCCGUAGCGCAGCUGGGAGCGCGUCUGCAUGGCAUGCAGGAGGUCGCGGGUUCGAUCCCCGUCGGCUCCA
rnacentral:tRNA from 1 species